UACGUAGGGGGCAAGCGUUGUCCGGAUUUAUUGGGCGUAAAGAGCGUGUAGGCGGCUUGGUAGGUCCGCUGUGAAAACUCGAGGCUCAACCUCGAGAUGUCGGCGGAAACCACUUGGCUAGAGUCCGGAAGAGGAGAGUGGAAUUCCCGGUGUAGCGGUGAAAUGCGCAGAUAUCGGGAAGAACACCUAUGGCGAAGGCAGCUCUCUGGGACUGUACUGACGCUGAGACGCGAAAGCGUGGGGAGCGAACAGG
rnacentral:rRNA from 1 species